UGUCACUGUUGCUGAGCCCCCAUCGCCU
rnacentral:piRNA from 1 species